AGCUGUUUUGGAAGCAGCCCUGUUGGAAGUGGGAGGGGUGAUGUAACCCCAGCAAAGUUUUGAAAUAGAGCAAAAUCCCAGGAAGGGCCCUGAGCUGGGAUUGGCUGAGAGGCGCGGAUAAAAGGGGGAGCAGUUUUUCCCAUGUGGGUGGGGGGAGGACAAGAGAGAGAGAGAGGGGCUGAGGGACAGGCUGGAGACCGGAUUCAGUCUCAGCACAGUGGUCCCUCGGAGAGCCCCUAAGAGAGGCCUGCAGGAGUAGCAGUGGAGAAGCUGCGGCGGCAGGAUCAGGCUGGGACUGCUUGUGCGGAGAAUCCAAACCUGGAGAGACCUGACUGCAGCCGGUGUGGCUGGGUGAGCACAGCAGAGCUGGUGGGGGGGACUGCCAGAGUCUGCCCUAGUUUCCCUGAUGGGUGAGGGGCCCCAGGGGUAGGCAAAGCCCAGGGAGGAGCCGGGGCUGAGAGGCUGUGUGGGGCAGGAGGGUUUCAACAGCCUGCAGCCCAGACACUGCUCCCAGCAGAGCCAGGGAAGGGGGCCAAAGGCAGGGAAAGGCUGUCUUGUAGGAACUGCAGAGGAGUCGCUGCUUGCUGCCCGGAGACCCCAGGAGCACGGAGACGGACACCAGUGCCAGGGAGCAUCCACAGACCACGUGCAGGGACACAGACAGUCUCACUCCCUGAGAUACCCCACCAGGGGCAGUGCACACGGGAUCCCCAGUACACAGGUUGCAAGGUAGAAGACAGGAGACAACCCAAACCUUCAUCCCAUAUUUUUAACCCACAAAAGAAGUAUCAGUAUAUCUGUGCAGUGGAAAAGCAUCCAGAUGGCAGUAGUAAAAGAUGGGAAAUUAAUUGAACUGGAAGAGUCAACCACCUGACCGCAUCCCAAAAAUGGAUAAUUAAGCAAAGUUAUAUUUUUUUAAAUUCUUUCUAAAAAGAUAGACAAUAUUGUUAGUAGGAAAAAUAAACUUAACAGAAUUCAUUUUAAAAAGGUGAGGGGGGAGAGUUAUUUAGAGUACAGGCUUGCAGACAAUACAGUGAUUUGUAAUCAUCUAUUAAGAUAAUGGGAGAUUUUAGGUUAAUUUAGUGCAACACUGCUUGCUUUUAAGGAAGAAAUCUGGUCAGCAAUAGUUUUGUAGCAGAAAGCCCCUUUUCCUCUUGCCUGCAGUUGCUCUCCCCUCCUUGGAUAUGUUUUUCCUCUUCUAUCUUUUCUUCCUUCCUCUUCCUUUAACUUUAAGAUAAGGAAUUGUGUUUUGAAAUUUGUAUAUGUGCAUUUUGUAUCUCCCCUUGUAUUUUGGUAUUUUUAUCUAUUUGUGUGCCAUGGCAUUACUUUUGUAGCUUAUAUUUUAUACUCCUCACCUUUCAACUUUCAACUAAAUGUGUUUAGUUUCAUAAGUAAUUUAUACAUUGUAACAAUGUUAACAAGGGCAGGAAUCAAACUGCCCUUCCCUGUAUCAGGCUGGCCCCUGAAAGAGCGAGUGAAUCAGUGAUUGAAUGUGUAACACAGUAGCAGGCAGCAAUUAACACCUAAGGAAACUGCAGAUCAACCAACAGAAGAACUCAAUAGAAGACAAUGUAACAACCGGGAAAUUUCUAAACUCACUGAUCAAGGGCUAGAAGCCCUGGCCUGAGUUAAUCAACACCGGGGACCAACUUUUGGGCUGAAUAUCUCCAGAUCGACCGUUCCCAGAGCCCUAUUCAAAAUUCAUCAAUGGACUCCCAAACCUGCAUGUACAUGCAUACGACCCCUGGGGCUGACAGAUGCCAUCCAGUAGCCACCGAGAGGGGAAGUCCCACGAGGGUCAACAACCCCUGGAUUGGGCAAACCUAAAAAAUGGGGAAGUCACCAAAGUCUGCCAAGGACAGAUAAAAAGCAGUGAAAAGUGACCCUCAGUAGCGCCCUCUUGAUCUCCAACUUGACCAGCACCCGACCUGUCCAACCAGAAGGACCAGCUGGCGACCCCCUUCUGGAAGAUAACACCAUGCUGAAAGAAGCCUCAACGGCAGACUCCAGUGCCUGUGGGAUAGGUAUACCUGACUCUUGUAGCUUGCUACUGUGUGUGUACAUGUGUGUGCAUGUGGGGACCAACCCCAAGGUUUAUGAUUUAACUUCAUUGCAGUGCUUCAAUCCGCCUAAUAAACUAGAAUUUUAAGGA